rnacentral:rRNA from 1 species
UACGUAGGGUGCGAGCGUUGUCCGGAAUUAUUGGGCGUAAAGAGCUUGUAGGCGGUUUGUCGCGUCUGCUGUGAAAAUCCGGGGCUCAACCUCGGGCCUGCAGUGGGUACGGGCAGACUAGAGUGCGGUAGGGGAGAUUGGAAUUCCUGGUGUAGCGGUGGAAUGCGCAGAUAUCAGGAGGAACACCGAUGGCGAAGGCAGAUCUCUGGGCCGUAACUGACGCUGAGGAGCGAAAGCAUGGGGAGCGAACAGG